rnacentral:rRNA from 1 species
UACGUAGGGGGCAAGCGUUGUCCGGAUUUAUUGGGCGUAAAGAGCGUGUAGGCGGCCAAGCAGGUCAGCUGUGAAAACUCGAGGCUCAACCUCGAGACGUCGGUUGAAACCGUUUGGCUAGAGUCCGGAAGAGGAGAGUGGAAUUCCCGGUGUAGCGGUGAAAUGCGUAGAGAUCGGGAGGAACACCAGUGGCGAAGGCGGCUUGCUGGGCCGGACCUGACGCUGAGACGCGAAGGCGUGGGGAGCGAACGGG